CAGCCGCCACGGUAAUACGAAGGGGGCUAGCGUUGCUCGGAAUUACUGGGCGUAAAGGGAGCGUAGGCGGACUGUUUAGUCAGAGGUGAAAGCCCAGGGCUCAACCUUGGAAUUGCCUUUGAUACUGGCAGUCUUGAGUACGGAAGAGGUAUGUGGAACUCCGAGUGUAGAGGUGAAAUUCGUAGAUAUUCGGAAGAACACCAGUGGCGAAGGCGACAUACUGGUCCGUUACUGACGCUGAGGCUCGAAAGCGUGGGGAGCAAACAGGAUUAGAUACCCGAGUAGUCCCUGUCUCUUAUAC
rnacentral:rRNA from 1 species